CCUUCAACUAGUCAAGUAAGAGGUGGAGUCGUGGGGGUCCCCCUCGUUGCUUGCCUUAAACACCAAUUGAAUUGAUCGGGUAAGUUAAAGGAACCAAUUAAAUAACCACGACUCCACCUAAGCUUAGCCUUUGUAACCUUUUACCUUAAACACCAGUUUCAGGGGUGAGUCCAAACUUACUUUGCACUUGACUUCAUCACAAUACUCAAACUAAACUCAAUUGAUCCU
rnacentral:lncRNA from 1 species